GCAAGUCGAACGCGACUCUUCGGAGUUGCGUGGCGGACGGGUGAGUAACACGUAGGUUACCUGCCCUUUGGUGGGGGAUAACCCAGGGAAACUUGGGAUAAUACCGCAUAUGGCCCACGGGUCAAAGACUUCGGUCGCCAAAGGAUGGGCCUGCGUCCCAUUAUUUAAUCCUAGUUGGUGGGGUAACGGCCUACCAAGGGUACGAUCCCUAGCUGGUUUGAGAGGAUGAUC
rnacentral:rRNA from 1 species